AAAAAGAUAAACUCUAGUUUCCAUGUCCGACCGUCCGUCUUAUUUAAAAAAAUUAUAUAAAAAUUAAAAAGACAAGUCACGCAUAAAAUAUUAAUCAUGUUUUAUCAUCUAACAACAAUGAAAAUACGAAUUAUAAAAAAAUUUCAUAUAAGACGGACAGUCAAAGUUGGACACGGAAACCCAGGGUUUGUUUUUUU
rfam:Oryza sativa (indica cultivar-group) chromosome 1, whole genome shotgun sequence.